AGAGUUUGAUCCUGGCUCAGAACGAACGCUGGCGGCAGGCCUAAUACAUGCAAGUCGAACGAACCUUCGGGUUAGUGGCGCACGGGUGCGUAACGCGUGGGAAUGUACACCUUGGUGCGGAAUAACGUCGGGAAACUGACGCUAAUACCGCAUAAUGACUCCGGUCCAAAGAUUUAUCGCCAAGGGAUCAGCCCGCGUUAGAUUAGCUAGUUGGUGAGGUAAUGGCUCACCAAGGCGACGAUCUAUAGCUGGUCUGAGAGGAUGAUCAGCCACACUGGGACUGAGACACGGCCCAGACUCCUACGGGAGGCAGCAGUGGGGAAUAUUGGACAAUGGGGGAAACCCUGAUCCAGCCAUGCCGCGUGAGUGAAGAAGGCCUUAGGGUUGUAAAGCUCUUUUGCUGGGAAGAUAAUGACUGUACCAGGAGAAUAAGCCCCGGCUAGCUUCGUGCCAGCAGCCGCGGUAAUAC
rnacentral:rRNA from 1 species